UCGAGAAUCUUCGGCAAUGGACGCAAGUCUGACCGAGCGACGUCGCGUGGAGGAUGAAGGCCCUCGGGUUGUAAACUCCUGUUGUGGGGGAGCAUAAUGAGCGAACCCAUGAGGAAGCACGGGCUAAGUUCGUGCCAGCAGCCGCGGUAAUACGAACCGUGCAAACGUUAUUCGGAAUCAUUGGGCUUAAAGAGCACGUAGGCGGCAUCGUAAGUUGGAGGUGAAAUCCCAUCGGCUCAACCGUGGAACGGCCUUCAAUACUGCGAAGCUAGAGUGAGGCAGGGGUCCGUGGAACUUCCGGUGGAGCGGUGAAAUGUGUUGAUAUCGGAAGGAACGCCGGCGGCGAAAGCGACGGACUGGGACUCAACUGACGCUGAGGUGCGAAAGCUAGGGUAGCGAACGGGAUUAGAUACCCCCGUAGUCC
rnacentral:rRNA from 1 species